GAUGAACGCUGGCGGCGUGCCUAAUACAUGCAAGUCGAGCGAACGGACGAGAGGCUUGCUUCUCUGAUGUUAGCGGCGGACGGGUGAGUAACACGUGGAUAACCUACCUAUAAGACUGGGAUAACUUCGGGAAACCGGAGCUAAUACUGGAUAAUAUUUUGAACCGCAUGGUUCAAAAGUGAAAGACGGUCUUGCUGUCACUUAUAGAUGGAUCCGCGCUGCAUUAGCUAGUUGGUAAGGUAACGGCUUACCAAGGCAACGAUGCAUAGCCGACCUGAGAGGGUGAUCGGCCACACUGGAACUGAGACACGGUCCAGACUCCUACGGGAGGCAGCAGUAGGGAAUCUUCCGCAAUGGGCGAAAGCCUGACGGAGCAACGCCGCGUGAGUGAUGAAGGUCUUCGGAUCGUAAAACUCUGUUAUUAGGGAAGAACAGAUGUGUAAGUAACUGUGCACAUCUUGACGGUACCUAAUCAGAAAGCCACGGCUAACUACGUG
rnacentral:rRNA from 1 species